AGUUUAAAAGAUUUCAAUAACGGUUACUUGAGGUCUGCGGUUUGUUAGUUUGAAGCUUUUGUCCGGAAGCUAUGUACACAGUUCUCAUCACUGGUCUGACGCGGUCAGGUUUAGAUGAGCUGCAGCUUCAUGAUCGUACAAUGGUGCUGUUUAAGAUGAGAUGUUUCGGGCUGUGGAUGGUUUAUUGGUGCUGUUUGGCUUUGGGAAACGGAGAAAGCCUGUGCAAAAGUGAACUUUUACUAAGCAGUAACAUUUCUACUGAGCUCCAGUCUGAUGUCCUGCUGCCGUGUAACUUUAAUCCAACUCUCCUCGGAUCAGAUAAGACUGCAGAUAUAGCAGUAGCGUGGAGUCCAAGGAACACAACAAUACACCAUCUAGCGGAGAUCACUCUACAGGGAGAAGUGAUGUUUUGGGAUUCUAAAGGUGGACGUAUCAAGACGUUCCCUAAGCUCUCUGAAUCAGGAAACUUCUCCAUCCUCCUUCAGAAAGUGCAGCCGUAUGAUCUGGGUCUCUACCACUGUGAGCUGUUUAACGGGACCGGCUGCAGAAUUGCGUAUCAGGAGGUACACCUGCUUGGUCUCACUACUGUUUCCCAGCCUCAGAAAUCCAUCAUCACAGGAGCAUCAGUAGUACCAGUACUUCUGUGUUUAUUCAUAGUGUGUGUUUGCAGAAAAAGGAAUAAACGAAAGUACCAGCUGGAGCCAGAGAGCAGUCAUGAACACUGUUACACAGAAGUGAUGUACACUCUCCACAGUACAAACAGCCAUGAAAAUCCCUCACUAAAUGUUGCUACUGGGAUGUUGGAAGGACAAAAGCAGAACUGAGGAGAGAUCAUAUGACAUACGCCGGGCGUGAAUUGUGUAAAAGCUACUGCACUGAUAGAAGCAACAUUUCUAUUAAACUCCAGUCUGAUGUCCUGCUGCCGUGUACCUUUAAUCCAACUCUCCUCGGAUCAGAUAAGACUGCAGAUAUAGCGGUAGUGUGGAGUCAGAGGAACACAACAAUACACCAUCUAGUGGAGAUCACUCUACAGGGAGAAGUGAAGUUUUGGGAUUCUAAACAUGGACGUAUCAAGACGUUCCCUAAGCUCUCUGAAUCAGGAAACUUCUCCAUCCUCCUUCAGAAAGUGCAGCCGUAUGAUCUGGGUCUCUACCACUGUGAGCUGUUUAACGGGACCGGCUGCAGAAUUGCGUAUCAGGAACUACAGCUUGUCUCAGAUAAAAACAGGGACACUUUGGGUCUUUAGAUACUUCCACAGAUCCUGUUUUCCAUCAGGCGAUAAUCAUCACAGGAGCAUCAACAGGAGCAGUACUUCUUUGUUUAUUCAUAGCAUCUGUCAUCUACAUAGGCAACAGACGUGAGUCUUUUGUAUAAACACUUUGUUAGGUAAUAUUUGACAUGACGUCUAUUCUUUUUUUUUUUGGUAACUUUUGAACGAGCUUGUUCAGAUAGACCAAUGCUGAUUAGUAUUAAACAUCUACUAUACAAUGCAUUUAAAUAAACAGCUCAACUGAAUGUUACAGGAAGGCACCGGCUGCACCCAGAGAGCACUCGUGGUAAGUGUUAAGAGGUGUGAAUUCUCACACCUGCAGGAAGUUUCCACUCCUAUGAAGUAUUGAGGACUGCAGUUCUGCUGUAGCUUAAACUGAAUUAAUCAGUAACAUUGAAGGACAAACUAGAUGAAUAGUUCUAAUAAAUAAAAUAGUUGUAUGUAUUGUCUGUCUCUAGGUUGUUCACAUGAUAACCCAGACUAUGUGAGCUACAGCCAUGGCAGGGAUGGUAAAUACCUACAUUCAAGACAUGUUCUGUUUAUUAAUAAGCAAAUAUCAGAUUUCUAUAUUUCCUUUUUAACAUCUGUACCACUUGAUUAAUCCAAAAUAAACUUUGCUUCCUGAACUUUAGAAACUCUUGUGAGUGAAAACCCGAUCUACGAGACUGUUUGGAACAGAGGAGGCAGCAUGUGAUGAAGGCUCAUACAGUACCUUCACCAGAGGGGCAAAUGUUGGAGAAUAAUUUAUAUCUUAGUAGGGACUCGGUGUUCUCACAAGGAUAGCAAAAAUUCACAGUUAUAUCUUUACAAGAACUGCAGCUAUUAUUUUAUUUAAAAAACCAAAAGAUCUCUUUUCGGUUACUUAAGUAAAGCUUAGAGUUAGAUUAAGGUGCAGAAUAACAUUAUCAUUAUUAGUCAGCAUUAAUAAUUAUGUCAAAGGUCUUGACAAGCAAGUGUGUGUGUGUGUGUAUCUACAGUAUACAUCCAUACAUACAUGCAUACAUAUACACACUCACUAUAUGGCCAAAAGUAUGUGGACACCUGAGCAUCAUUCUCAUAUAUGGUUCUUCCCCAAAACUGUUACCACAUGCUGUAUCAUUACCAUUUCCCUUCAGUGGAACUAACAAGCCCAGACAUGUUCAGCAUGGCAAUGUUCUUGUGCUCAAAGCAAGCUCCAUAAAGACAUGGCUUUCCAAGGUCGAUGUGGAAGAACUGGAGUGGCGUGCACAGAGCCCUGACCUCAACCACGCUGAACUGGAACGUCGACUGCACACCAAAUCUCCUCACGUGUCUCAAUGCCUGACCUCACUAAUUCUCUUGUGGCUGUAAAGGGAGAACGGGGAAAAUCCCCUCAGCCAUGCUCAACAAUCUAGUGGAAAGCCUUUCCAGAGAAGUGGAGAUUAUUAUAAGAGCAAAGAGAGGACCAAUUCCCCAUAAAUGUUCAUUCAUUUAGAAUUCAUUUCUCUUGGAUGGAUACAUUUACUCGUUUUAUUUAAUAUUAUAUUAUGCAAUAGCAUAUUAUCUCCGACAAAAAUGAACAAAAUGAGUCAUUUAAGUGGUUUUAUUUUACAUUUGACUGCAUUCUUUUCAAUUUCUGAAUGUUUAAUUAAGCUGUUAGACACCAAACUAACUGGAAAGAUUUUUUUUUUAUUAUAUUACUGGUCCUUUAAAAAAUAAAUAAAUAAAUAAAUAAAUGUUUUAUUUUAUUCAUUUCUUGUCUUUUGUUAUUAUUUUAUUAGUUUAUCUUAAAUAAUUGCUUGAUGACUUUAAAUAAUGUUUCAUAAGAAG